rnacentral:rRNA from 1 species
UGGGGGUGAAAGGCCAAUCAAACCGGGAGAUAGCUGGUUCUCCCCGAAAGCUAUUUAGGUAGCGCCUCGUGAACUCAUCUUCGGGGGUAGAGCACUGUUUCGGCUAGGGGGCCAUCCCGGCUUACCAAACCGAUGCAAACUCCGAAUACCGAAGAAUGUUAUCACGGGAGACACACGGCGGGUGCUAACGUCCGUCGUGAAGAGGGAAACAACCCAGACCGCCAGCUAAGGUCCCAAAGUCAUGGUUAAGUGGGAAACGAUGUGGGAAGGCACAGACAGCCAGGAUGUUGGCUUAGAAGCAGCCAUCAUUUAAAGAAAGCGUAAUAGCUCACUGGUCGAGUCGGCCUGCGCGGAAGAUGUAACGGGGCUAAACCAUGCACCGAAGCUGCGGCAGCGACACUUAGGUGUUGUUGGGUAGGGGAGCGUUCUGUAAGCCGUUGAAGGUGACCUGUGAGGGUUGCUGGAGGUAUCAGAAGUGCGAAUGCUGACAUAAGUAACGAUAAUGCGGGUGAAAAACCCGCACGCCGGAAGACCAAGGGUUCCUGUCCAACGUUAAUCGGGGCAGGGUGAGUCGACCCCUAAGGCGAGGCUGAAAAGCGUAGUCGAUGGGAAACAGGUUAAUAUUCCUGUACUUGGUGUUACUGCGAAGGGGGGACGGAGAAGGCUAGGCUGGCCGGGCGACGGUUGUCCCGGUUUAAGCGUGUAGGGGGAGUGACCAGGUAAAUCCGGUUGCUUAUCAACCCUGAGGCGUGAUGACGAUGCACCACGGUGCAGAAGCAG